CGUCUUGCCAGACGGGUGCGCGUUGCCUAUAUCUGCCGGUGCCGGAGGGGCUUGCUCCUUGGCUAUGGCGAUAAACGGCACGUGGAAUAAGUGUAGUGGACCCGGGGGCAGUACCCGGCGUCUCCACCAGGUCAUCUCUCCGCCAUGACCCUUCGGGGCAGGAGAGCAUGGGGACGAAACAGGCUCGACACGCAUGGUAAAGACCUGCCUUUUGCCCGGCAUUGUACCGCCGUUAUCGGGCUAACUUACAAGUGCCAACGAUAACUCUGAGGUGCUCGCUGUCGCUGCAUAAGUGACAAGCGCGGUUCGGGAGGGCACCGGGCAACAGAAGCCCUCCCACU
rnacentral:tmRNA from 1 species